AUACUUACCUGGCAGGGGCGAUACCAUGAUCACGAAGGUGGUUCACCCAGGGUGAGGCUCUGCCAUUGCACUUGGGUGGUGCUGACCCUUGCGAAUUCCCCAAAUGCGGGAAUCUCGACUGUAAGGGGC
rnacentral:snRNA from 1 species